rnacentral:snRNA from 1 species
AGGGAAGGUGACCUGGCUGUGAGAUCUGAUGUGCCACUAAUUGUAUGGGUUGAUCUGACUGAUCAGGCUAGCUUAGGCAGGUGUUCCCUUUCUUCCUUGACACUCUGUGUGUGUUCCUCUUAAUGAUGUGUGCUUGGUUAAUGAGUAGAGCCUCCUCAACAUGGUAUUGUUCAUUGGUCAAAGGGGUGUGGUGGCGGCGCUCCCCUGUAGGAAGCUCUAAGUCAGCUCAAGGUCCAGAAAAAUGUAGGGUAAUCAAGCAUCCAACACUGAAGAUACAUCCAAAUGAGAAGCUGCAUGCGCCAGUCUGCUGCUGGCUUU